UAGCUACAGGCUUAACACAUGCAAGUCGAGGGGAAACUAUAUUGGAAGCUUGCUUCCGAUAGGCGUCGACCGGCGCACGGGUGAGUAACGCGUAUCCAACCUGCCCACCACUUGGGGAUAACCUUGCAAAAGUAAGACUAAUACCCAAUGAUAUCUCUAGAAGACAUCUGAAAGAGAUUAAAGAUUUAUCGGUGAUGGAUGGGGAUGCGUCUGAUUAGCUUGUUGGCGGGGUAACGGCCCACCAAGGCAACGAUCAGUAGGGGUUCUGAGAGGAAGGUCCCCCACAUUGGAACUGAGACACGGUCCAAACUCCUACGGGAGGCAGCAGUGAGGAAUAUUGGUCAAUGGACGAGAGUCUGAACCAGCCAAGUAGCGUGCAGGAAGACGGCCCUAUGGGUUGUAAACUGCUUUUAUAAGGGAAUAAAGUGAGUCUCGUGAGACUUUUUGCAUGUACCUUACGAAUAAGGACCGGCUAAUUCCGUGCCAGCAGCCGCGGUAAUACGGAAGGUCCGGGCGUUAUCCGGAUUUAUUGGGUUUAAAGGGAGCGUAGGCCGGAGAUUAAGCGUGUUGUGAAAUGUAGACGCUCAACGUCUGCACUGCAGCGCGAACUGGUUUCCUUGAGUACGCACAAAGUGGGCGGAAUUCGUGGUGUAGCGGUGAAAUGCUUAGAUAUCACGAAGAACUCCGAUUGCGAAGGCAGCUCACUGGAGCGCAACUGACGCUGAAGCUCGAAAGUGCGGGUAUCGAACAGGAUUAGAUACCCUGGUAGUCCGCACGGUAAACGAUGGAUGCCCGCUGUUGGUCUGAAUAGGUCAGCGGCCAAGCGAAAGCAUUAAGCAUCCCACCUGGGGAGUACGCCGGCAACGGUGAAACUCAAAGGAAUUGACGGGGGCCCGCACAAGCGGAGGAACAUGUGGUUUAAUUUGAUGAUACGCGAGGAACCUUACCCGGGCUUGAAUUGCAGAGGAAGGAUUUGGAGACAAUGACGCCCUUCGGGGCCUCUGUGAAGGUGCUGCAUGGUUGUCGUCAGCUCGUGCCGUGAGGUGUCGGCUUAAGUGCCAUAACGAGCGCAACCCCUCUCCUUAGUUGCCAUCAGGUCAAGCUGGGCACUCUGGGGACACUGCCACCGUAAGGUGUGAGGAAGGUGGGGAU
rnacentral:rRNA from 1 species